rnacentral:rRNA from 1 species
CCUACGGGAGACAGCAGUGAGGAAUAUUGGUCAAUGGGCUUACGCCUGAACCAGCCAAGUCGCGUGAGGGAAGACUGCCCUAUGGGUUGUAAACUUCUUUUAUAAAGGAAUAAAACGAGGCACGUGUGCCUUUUUGCAUGUACUUUAUGAAUAAGGAUCGGCUAACUCCGUGCCAGCAGCCGCGGUAAUACGGAGGAUCCGAGCAUUAUCCGGAUUUAUUGGGUUUAAAGGGAGCGUAGAUGGGUUGUUAAGUCAGUUGUGAAAGUUUGCGGCUCAACCGUAAAAUUGCAAUUGAUACUGGCAGUCUUGAGUACAGUUGAGGUAGGCGGAAUUCGUGGUGUAGCGGUGAAAUGCUUAGAUAUCACGAAGAACCCCGAUUGCGAAGGCAGCUUACUAAACUGUGACUGACAUUGAUGCUCGAAAGUGUGGGUAUCAAACAGGAUUAGAUACCCUUGUAGUC